GGCAAUGGAGCACACCAAAGCGCCUGAACCCAAACUUUUCCAAAGCGAGGAAGAAACCGGCUCUCUGGGUGAGGAGGAAGCUGACAGGCUGGAUGAAGGGAGCGAAGAUGAAAAUCAAGAGUUUUUCGACGCCCCGGAACCGGCCCCGGGCUCAGCCGCCUUCCUCCCCUCGCCCUUUCCCGAGCAACAGACGUGUGAGCAGGAGACUGCGGAUCCGGCAUACCUCGACUCGGUGUUCGGCGAACUGCCUCCGCAGUUGAGGGUUAAAGCCGACCCCACCUUCACGCGGCCGCCCGGCCCCAAGAGGAGGGCGAAGGUCAAGCACUUGACCCUGUUCCCCAACGCGGAGCUGUUUAUGGGAGACGAUGACCCCGAUCUGAACGACCACGUCAAGAUACUACACAACAAGGGCCAGGAGGAGAAGCCUCAGAAACACUACCUGCACAUCGGGGGUCUGCCGGCGCAGGUCCUGCCCGUUCCGGCGGCGGGGGGGCCCUUCUCGAAGGAGGAGAGCCACUGCCCGUGAGCGGGGAGCGGCCCCCGGAGACGGCGGGCCGGGACCGGUGGUGUUCCGCCCCAUCCUGCUGCGCUCCGAAGGCAAUAAAACAUGGCUCCCUCUGCCAAGCGUUUGGUGAGGGAUGACAUCGAGUCUCCGAGACGCUUUUUUCUCGGUCGAAGGGGGAAGGGUCCACGGUGGGUCACUGGGAGACAGUCAGGGAUGGAGAGGGGAGAGUCAAGGGGUUGGGAUGGUUUGUGCUGGGUAGACUGUAAGCCCGUCAAUGGGCAGGGAUGCUCUCUAUCUGUUGCCCAUUUGUCCAUUCCAAGCGCUUAGUACAGUG
rnacentral:lncRNA from 1 species